rnacentral:rRNA from 1 species
CCUACGGGUGGCAGCAGUGAGGAAUAUUGGUCAAUGGGCGCGAGCCUGAACCAGCCAAGUCGCGUGAGGGAAGACGGUCCUAUGGAUUGUAAACUUCUUUUGUCGGGGAGCAAAAGACUCCACGCGUGGCUUUCCGAGAGUACCCGAUGAAAAAGCAUCGGCUAACUCCGUGCCAGCAGCCGCGGUAAUACGGAGGAUGCGAGCGUUAUCCGGAUUUAUUGGGUUUAAAGGGUGCGCAGGCGGAAGAUCAAGUCAGCGGGAAAAUUUUGAGGCUCAACCUCUUCGAGCCGUUGAAAAUGGUUUUCUUGAGUGAGUGUGAAGUAUGCGGAAUGCGUGGUGUAGCGGUGAAAUGCAUAGAUAUCACGCAGAACUCCGAUUGCGAAGGCAGCAUACCGGCGCUUAACUGACGCUCAUGCACGAAAGUGUGGGUAUCGAACAGGAUUAGAUACCCUAGUAGUC